rnacentral:hammerhead_ribozyme from 1 species
GUCCAGCUAACGAGUCCCAAAUAGGACGAAAUGCGCAUCUGUGAU